GCGCAUCACAGAUGAUUGUAGCAAUUACUUUUUACAACCUAGCAGCUAGUACUUUUGCAAUAAUCUUGUACAGGAUAGAGCAACACGCAAUGGGUAUAAACUCCUUUACUAUAACUAGGCACAUUGUUUUGGGGACAAGAGUAAUUAAAGUACAAUUAAUAGCUCUGUGUAGCUUCCCUGUUAUGAAAAAAUCCUUGAUACCUUCAAUGAGGUCAUAUUGUAUGUUAGACUAGGCUUUUUUUUAUUGUAAAAAUGAGCAUUGUAAAACAUCUACCUCGGGGCUUUUUCAUCGUCUAAUGAGUGUAAAGCAUUAACUAUCUCCUUGUUUGUUACCUCUUUGCACAGUUCGAUCCCUUGAGAAUAACUGAGGAUCUGUCCAUUUCUCAUCGUUGUCAAGCUUACUGUUGGCAGAUUGUGACUUGUAGAUCCCAUCAAAGUUUAUAAAAACCUAUCACUUAUUCUUGUACAACAUCAGGUGUAGACAGUUUAUCUCCAUUCAGGGAAGUUAGCUCUAAGAUUUGCUUCUUGCAUAUUCUCUAUUUUAGCAGAGCAGAAAAGUAUUUACUAUUAGAAUCCCCCAACUUGAUCCAUUGAGCUCUAGCUUUUUGCCUGAGGAUAUUUUCUUCAAUUAAUGACCAUUUCUCCAAAUCAUGGAUACAUUAUUUCUUCUUCAACUGUAAAGCUUUUAUAAAGUGCCUCUGAAUUUCCUCCUAUGUGAGCAUCAGUUCAGUUUUGAUUUGGACAAUCUUUCGUGUGAUAUUCUUGAACUCAAAUAUAUAAAGAUUCUUCAGUGCCGGUCUUAAUGCUUUUAGCUUAAUCCACAUACUUGCCAAUAUACCUCUUUUUGGUUGGAUGCCCAUACUGUUCCACUAUACUCUGAAAUAAAGAAUGGUCAGCUCACACAUUAUAAUAUUUAAAAAGAGAUAUGAUGCUCCACUGAGUGUGUUGGAGUGUCACCAACAUAGGAGAGUG
rnacentral:lncRNA from 1 species